rnacentral:rRNA from 1 species
GCAAGUCGAGCGACAGACGAGGAGCUUGCUCCUUUGACGUUAGCGGCGGACGGUUGAGUAACACGUAGGUAACCUACCUAUAAGACUGGGAUAACUUCGGGAAACCGGAGCUAAUACCGGAUAAUAUUUCCAACCGCAUGGUUCGAUAGUGAAAGAUGGCUUUG